AUACGGAGGGUGCGAGCGUUAAUCGGAAUUACUGGGCGUAAAGCGCGCGUAGGCGGCUAGGUCAGUCGGAUGUGAAAGCCCCGGGCUUAACCUGGGAAUUGCACUCGAUACUGCUUGGCUAGAGUAUGGGAGAGGGAAGCGGAAUUUCCGGUGUAGCGGUGAAAUGCGUAGAUAUCGGAAGGAACACCAGUGGCGAAGGCGGCUUCCUGGAUCAGGACUGACGCUGAGGCUCGAAAGCGUGGGGAGCAAACAGGAUUAGAAACCCUAGUAGUCC
rnacentral:rRNA from 1 species